GGAAGUGUGUGUGUCUUAGUGAUGGCACUGCUGAACAUUGAUCGCUCCCACUUCAGGCAGAUCUGCUCAGUUAAGGUGUAGUCACGUGGUUUACUUUAGCAGUUCAGGGACCUCCCGAUGCUACAAAUCGCACGGUGGAUGGUCCCGAGGACUCCUCGAUUGCCGCGAUUCCAAAUUGUUAGGCGUGAGGUUAAUCGAACUUCCAUAUAUCGGUACUACUGUGUGUAGUUUGCCAGUUUUUUUC
rnacentral:snRNA from 16 species